ensembl:lncRNA
AAUAGAUAUAAGGCCUGUAAGUCACCUGACCUGGGUUGUCUUCUCCCUUCUUCUCGUCUCGUGCUCGCUUUCGGAUCAUCUCGCUGCUGCUCCCAACUGCAUGCAAGGCUUCAGUAUUAGUGUAACAAACUAUAGAGGAAAGAUGUAUAUACUAAAUGACAAGGAGAUGAAUGCUGAAGUUUCCAUGUGCAUUCAAGUGUUUGGUGUUUCUACUCUUCUUCCAUUUGAGAAGACCAUAUAUAUGAUAUUGCUGCCAUUAUAAUGACAUUCUUCAACAAGGAAGAUGCGUCUUUUUAUGGGCAUUGGCACCAUUUACAGGAUCCACAUUUAUGCAAGUCUGUUCUGUAUUUCAUUUAAAUAAAGCCUCC